ensembl:misc_RNA Y_RNA Y RNA
GGCUGGUCUGAUGGUAGUGGGUUAUCAGAGCUUAUUAACAUUAGUGUCACUGCAGUUGGUAUACAAACCCCCCACUGCUAAAUUUGACUGGCUUUAA